UACGAAGGGGGCGAGCGUUGUUCGGAUUUACUGGGCGUAAAGGGCGCGUAGGCGGCGCGAGAAGUCGAGUGUGAAAGCCCCGGGCUCAACCUGGGAAUUGCGCUCGAUACUCUAGUGCUUGAGCACUGUAGAGGCAGGCGGAAUUCCGGGUGUAGCGGUGGAAUGCGUAGAGAUCCGGAAGAACACCGGUGGCGAAGGCGGCCUGCUGGGCAGUAGCUGACACUGAGGCGCGACAGCGUGGGGAGCAAACAGG
rnacentral:rRNA from 1 species